AUUUUUUCCUCUGAUACCAUUGUAAAUAACGUCAUCAGAUUGCUUGAGAGAAACUUUGCAGCCAUCAAGCAAACACCAUUUAGGGUGCAUGUUUGUGUUUGUGUAUGAAAUAAAUGACAUUCAAAUAUCAAGAGCUUUAUACAUGAUGAAUUUGAUUGGUUAGUGUGAAUGUGGUACCUAAAAUGAUUUGAUGCUAAUUCAGAAUAUUUGUUGAUAGAAAUUAUUAUUAUAAAGCCUGUAAACACUGCAAUAUUAAUAUAUCUGUGUUUAAUAGUUUUCUGUAUUUUUGAGGAAUACGUUGUAGACAUUAAUUGCUGUUACUUUCCUGUCAAUUAAAAAUUACAGUUUUUACCCAAUAUUAAGGUGGUACCUAACACUACAGGGAGAUAACUCUGUAAAGUCAGCUAAACGUUUUAAUUACGUUGUGUUCUAAAAGGAAUAUUAAGCUUCUCAAUGAUCAAAAUUGGUGUUUGUCAAACUGCUAUAUAACCAGUGUAAUUUUUCUGACAAAACGGUUGGUUAAAUAUUUUUGAAAUUUUGAAAUUUUUGUUAAAGACAAAAUUUUAAGAAAAUUAAACGAGCCAAAUUAAUUUUAGUGAAAGUGUUGGGUACCACCUUAAGUGAAUAUUUUCAUAUUUUCACUUAAAAAAAUGUUUUUUAGUGCUUAAAUUGUGUAUUUUCUUACAGUGUUGGGAAGGCAGUUUUGUAUAACAUAUCAUUAUAAUUAAAACGUCCAAGUUUGAUCAGUUGUCCUUUUUAAAAAGGAAAUUUAUCUAUAUACAGUGUACAUUCAUUAAUACAUACAAACUUAUAUAUAUAUAUUCAUAUCUUUGACAUUAAAUGUUUGAAGAUUAGUUGCAUUGUAAACUCUAUUGUGCAGAGUUCACGAUCUACAGGGUUUUACAUCGGCC
rnacentral:lncRNA from 1 species